GGAAUAUGCCGCGCGCACUCUCCCUCGUGUGAUUGGCGGGUGCGGGUGCGUCUCUUCCUUUCUUUCUUGCUUCUCCCUUUCCCCCUCCUCCUCCUUGACUCCGCCGCCGUCUCACUCGCAACACCCCCGUCUGCUAUCUCUUGGGAGAGGUGGGAGUGGAGGAGGCUAGCCGACGCCGCGACGCAGGCGAGGUUCUUUUGAGUUUCUUUCUGAUACCAUGGGGCAGAGGCUCCUCUUAUUGGUGACCACUUGUCUGUGGGCUCUUUCAUGCGCCGUGCCGCACCAUGCUUCCUCGCUUGAUGGACUGCUUAGGAUCAACCUGAACAAGAGGAGCUUGACCUAUGAAUCUCUGGCCGCGGCAAAGGCAGCGAGGCAGCACGGCGCCCUCCGACUGAAGAGCAGCGAUUUAGACAGCGACAUCGUGCCUCUUGUCGACUACCUCAACACCCAGUACUAUGGGGUCAUCGGCCUCGGCACGCCGCCGCAGAAUUUCACGGUGAUAUUCGACACCGGGAGCUCCAACCUCUGGGUUCCCUCGUCGAAAUGCUAUUUCUCGAUAGCAUGCUACCUCCACGCCAAAUACAAGUCGAGCAAGUCAAGCACUUACAAAGCAGAUGGUGAGACUUGCAAAAUUACAUAUGGCUCUGGUGCAAUCUCUGGAUUUUUCAGCAAUGAUAAUGUGUUGGUUGGGGAUCUUGUUGUGAAAAAUCAGAAAUUCAUCGAGACAACACGUGAAACAAGUGUUAGUUUUAUCGUCGGGAAGUUUGAUGGCAUCCUUGGCCUUGGCUACCCUGACAUCUCCGUUGGGGAAGCCCCUCCAGUAUGGCUGAGCAUGCAAGAGCAGAAGUUGCUCGCUGACGACGUAUUCUCAUUUUGGCUUAACCGGGAUUCUGAUGCACUUUCUGGUGGUGAGCUUGUCUUUGGUGGCAUGGACCCAGAUCACUAUAAGGAAAACCACACCUAUGUCCCCGUGAGCCGCAAAGGUUACUGGCAGUUUAACAUGGGUGAUCUCUUGAUUGAUGGCCACUCUACUGGCUUCUGUGCCAAAGGCUGUGCUGCUAUUGUGGAUUCUGGGACUUCCCUUCUGGCUGGCCCAACAGCUAUAGUUGCUCAGGUGAACCAUGCAAUUGGAGCUGAGGGAAUUAUCAGCAUGGAAUGUAAAGAGGUGGUGAGCCAGUACGGAGAGAUCAUCCUCGAAUUGUUAAUAGCACAGACACAGCCACAGAAAGUAUGCAGUCAGAUUGGUCUGUGUUUGUUUGAUGGUACUCACUCUGUCAGCAACGGGAUUGAAUCCGUUGUCGGUAAAGAAAAUGUUGGCUCGGAUGUUAUGUGCACAGCCUGUGAGAUGGCUGUUGUGUGGAUAGAGAACCAGCUCCGUGAAAACAAAACAAAGGAGCUGAUAUUGCAAUAUGCUAACCAGCUGUGUGAGCGUCUACCGAGCCCCAAUGGAGAGUCAACAGUCAGCUGCCAUGAGAUGUCAAAGAUGCCGAAUCUUGCUUUCACCAUCGCAAAUAAGACUUUCGUGCUAACACCAGAGCAGUACGUUGUGAAACUGGAGCAAUCAGGGCAAACCGUCUGCAUCAGUGGGUUCAUGGCAUUCGACAUACCGCCCCCACGUGGUCCUCUCUGGAUCCUCGGGGAUGUCUUCAUGGGCACUUACCACACCGUGUUCGACUUCGGCAAGGACAGAAUCGGGUUCGCAGAAUCAGCUUGAGGAGUCGAGAGCACUAUGAAGUUUCCGAAGGUCUCCACGUACGUAUCCUAGAAUAGUUUGGGUAUCUUCGAUCAUAGGAGCCCUGCUGUAAACCAUUGAUAGGUAAAAAGCUGAAACAAAAGAGAGAACUUUUUAUUUCUUUCUUAUAAACAAAUAAUAACUGGAUGCUUCAACUCUGAAGAAAGAAAGUACAUUUGUAUCCAUUAUGGCUGGUGCUAUGUAAUGAAGAAUGGAGUGCUUGCACGGUGAGAACCGAGAGUAAAUAGGCAACACAUGGUUUGUAAAAGAGUUCUUUUACUGUACCCUGAAAUUGAUAGAAGCCCUCCAUUUCGCC
rnacentral:rRNA from 1 species